AAAGAGGCCCGAGGCAGUAAGAACUGCUAAUUCUUAUUUGACCACGGUUAAACUCCG
rnacentral:tRNA from 1 species